UGUUGUGGUAGUUUCUUUCUGGCACAUUUAAGUUUUCAGAUGGGUCUGACUUUACCACAUACAUUGUUAGGAGCGAACAAAAGCUUAAAGACUGAAAUAUCUCUCCUGAGUUUUUUUUGUAACAGAUGUUGGCUCUCACAAUC
ensembl:snoRNA